rnacentral:rRNA from 1 species
CCUACGGGUGGCAGCAGUGAGGAAUAUUGGUCAAUGGCCGAGAGGCUGAACCAGCCAAGUCGCGUGAGGGAAGACGGCCCUACGGGUUGUAAACCUCUUUUGUCGGGGAGCAAAGCGAGUCACGUGUGACUCAUUGCGAGUACCCGAAGAAAAAGCAUCGGCUAACUCCUUGCCAGCAGCCGCGGUAAUACGGAGGAUGCGAGCGUUAUCCGGAUUUAUUGGGUUUAAAGGGUGCGGAGGCGGAGGUGCACGUCAGCGGUCAACUUGCGGGGCUCAACCCCGUACUGCAGUUGAAACUGCAUCCCUUGAGUGCGCGAGAAGUAUGCGGAAUGCGUGGUGUAGCGGUGAAAUGCAUAGAUAUCACGCAGAACUCCGAUUGCGAAGGCAGCAUACCGGCGCGCAACUGACGCUCAUGCACGAAAGCGUGGGUAUCGAACAGGAUUAGAUACCCCAGUAGUC